rnacentral:rRNA from 1 species
GAUGAACGCUGGCGGCGUGCCUAAUACAUGCAAGUCGAGCGAACAGACGAGGAGCUUGCUCCUCUGACGUUAGCGGCGGACGGGUGAGUAACACGUGGAUAACCUACCUAUAAGACUGGGAUAACUUCGGGAAACCGGAGCUAAUACCGGAUAAUAUAUUGAACCGCAUGGUUCAAUAGUGAAAGACGGUUUUGCUGUCACUUAUAGAUGGAUCCGCGCCGCAUUAGCUAGUUGGUAAGGUAACGGCUUACCAAGGCAACGAUGCGUAGCCGACCUGAGAGGGUGAUCGGCCACACUGGAACUGAGACACGGUCCAGACGCCUACGGGAGGCAGCAGUAGGGGAUCUUCCGCAAUGGGCGAAAGCCUGACGGAGCAACGCCGCGUGAGUGAUGAAGGUCUUCGGAUCGUAAAACUCUGUUAUUAGGGAAGAACAAAUGUGUAAGUAACUAUGCACGUCUUGACGGUACCUAAUCAGAAAGCCACGGCUAACUACGUG